rnacentral:rRNA from 1 species
AACGAACGCUGGCGGCAUGCCUAACACAUGCAAGUCGAACGAGACCUUCGGGUCUAGUGGCGCACGGGUGCGUAACGCGUGGGAACCUGCCCUUAGGUUCGGAAUAACUCCCCGAAAGGGGUGCUAAUACCGGAUAAUGUCUUCGGACCAAAGAUUUAUCGCCUUUGGAUGGGCCCGCGUUGGAUUAGCUAGUUGGUAGGGUAAAAGCCUACCAAGGCGACGAUCCAUAGCUGGUCUGAGAGGAUGAUCAGCCACACUGGGACUGAGACACGGCCCAGACUCCUACGGAAGGCAGCAGUGGGGAAUAUUGGACAAUGGGCGAAAGCCUGAUCCAGCAAUGCCGCGUGAGUGAUGAAGGCCUUAGGGUUGUAAAGCUCUUUUACCCGGGAUGAUAAUGACAGUACCGGGAGAAUAAGCGCCGGCUAACUCCG